rnacentral:tRNA from 1 species
GGUAGCUCAGGGGUAGAGUGCUUGCCUUGCAAGCAUGAGGCCCUGAGUUCCAUUCCUCAGUGCCA